rnacentral:ncRNA from 1 species
CGGGUUAAUAUUCCCGAACCUCGACGCGGAGAUUGCGCUCCGGCGCCUAGUGCGGCAACGCAAACGAACUCGGAAACGCCGACGUGGGUCCCGGGAAGAGUUCUCUUUUCUUGGUAAGGGGCGGCGACCCUGGAAUCGGUUCGCCCGGAGAUAGGGACAUGGGCCCCGUAAAGCAGCACGUCUCUUGUGCUGUCCGGUGAGCUCGCGUCGGCCCUUGAAAAUCCGAGGGAGACGGUGUAAUUUUCGUGCGAGGUCGUACCCAUAUCCGCAGCAGGUCUCCAAGGUGAACAGCCUCUGGCCGAUAGAACAAUGUAGGUAAGGGAAGUCGGCAAACUAGAUCCGUAACUUCGGGAAAAGGAUUGGCUCUAGGGGCUGGGUCGGUCGGGCUGAGGUACGAAGCGGGGCGCGGCGCUGUACCGGACUGGGCGAACGACGGCCUCCCUCGCGGGGGGCUGGCGUGAGCCUGGACCUGUGUCGGCGUCUUCCCGUGGAAUGCCGCAGCUAACGCGGGCCUCGCGGCCCGCUUCGGCCGGCGUCGAACAGCCGACUUAGAACUGGUACGGACCGGGGGAAUCCGACUGUUUAAUCCGUAAACAGCACGUCUUUGCGAUGGCCGUCAGCCCGCGUUGGCCCAAUGUAAUUUCUGCCCAGUGCUCUGAAU